rnacentral:lncRNA from 1 species
UCAACUAUUGUUUGGGAGCUCAUCAGCUUGAAGUCUACUUGUGUUCUAAUAGAAAAGUAUAUUAACAUAGUAAAUCUGAGUUGGCAAAACAAAUAGUAGCUGGUAGAGGAUCUUUCAGAAACCUCGAAGUCUCAACAUAUGCUUCACUUUCUCAGUCACUAAACGUCAAGAUAGCAUAACUUUUAACUCUCUGCAUCAAAAUUUUACCAUCUUUUAAAUGGACAUGUAAAAGUUCUAAAAACUAAAUCAGAUGGGGUAUGCAUUUGAAUCUUGCAGCUAACUUGUAUAGUUUUUCUAUUGGUCACAUCACUUUCCAUAGGUCUGUAAAAAGAAUAUUAUGUUAGUACGUACGGCUUUUCCUGGUAAAGAACAGGAAGACCAAUCCUAUAAGAGGAUAUUGUUUUCCAGGGAUCAAUAUGCACUUAUGCAGACAAAGUUAUCAACCACUCAAGCACCAAAAAACUAAAAUGUAUGUGCAUUAGCUAGUAGGCUCUUGCCUGCACGGGAAUGUGCAGCUGUUGUAACAAAUGGAGCAUCACAGAAGGACUAUUUUUAAGUGAGAAACUGAAAAGAACUACAUAAAAUGAUUCUUCUACACCACUAAUGAAAGAAGCAAAUAAUAAAGGCAUGUGGGGUGAGUGCUGCUCUUGUAUAUAUAAUUAUGUAUAUAUGAAACAGGCAGCUACAUUUUUCCAGCUUCAACAUGUUCAUGAGGGUUUUCCAUAAUGUAUGAACAAUUGAGACAAGUUUUCAGGUUACCCACCGGCAUGGUUAAUGUGAAAAAGAUCAAAAAAGAAAAAAAAUGUACCUACUGGUGUUAUUAUGCUGAUCCCUUUCCAACCUAGUCUGCUUGCAUGUGAAUUAAGGAGAGAAUUGAGACAGAAGUGCAUUAGCUUACGAGUAAGUUGGAUGAUCCAUCCCACAUUUAUAAGUUAACAACAGCUUUCUAGUAUCACAGAAACACAUGUAUAAGUUGAAGCAGCCUAGCUCUGCAACUCACGGAGCCAUGCGUUGAGCACAUAGCGAACUAUU